GACAGAGGGGUGCAAACGUUGUUCGGAAUUAUUGGGCGUAAAGCGCGCGCAGGUGGUUCUUUAAGUCUGAUGUGAAAGCCCCCGGCUCAACCGGGGAAGGGUCAUUGGAAACUGGGGAACCUUGAGUGCAGAAGAGGGAAAGGUGGAAUUCCACGUGUAGCGGUGGAAAGUGUCGGUAGAGGAUGUGGGAGGAACACCAGUGGCGAAGGCGACGUUUCUGGUCUGUAAA
rnacentral:rRNA from 1 species